rnacentral:tRNA from 6 species
GGGAUGUAGCUCAGCUGGGAGAGCAUCACGUUCGCAACGUGGGGGCCGAGGGUUCGAAUCCCUUCAUCUCC